rnacentral:rRNA from 1 species
GAUGAACGCUGGCGGUGUGCCUAAUACAUGCAAGUCGAGCGGUAAGGCUCUGCACUUAUUAUUUGAUCGUGGUAGUUUUGCUACCGGAGUAGACCAACUCAAACCUAGGCGUAGGGGAGAUGCGGAAAGCAAGAUUGAAUAAUGGGUGUAGAGUACACGAGCGGCGGACGGCUGAGUAACACGUAGGAACGUACCCCAAAGUGAGGGAUAAGCACCAGAAAUGGUGUCUAAUACCGCAUGUGCUCUAAGGAGUAAAGCUUUAUGCGCUUUGGGAACGGCCUGCGGAUGAUUAGCUUGUUGGUGAGGUAAAAGCUCACCAAGGCUACGAUCAUUAGCUGGUCUGAGAGGAUGAUCAGCCACACUGGGACUGAGACACGGCCCAGACUCCUACGGGAGGCAGCAGUAGGGAAUAUU